CAAUUUUAAGACAGAGUUGAAGUGGAUGAAUAUCAUACAUCUUUUUCUUUUACAUGGGGGUUGUCUGUAUUCGUUGUUUAAUUUUAGUUGGUCUGAAAAUUGGAAGACAACCGUUUGGAUAUUUAUCGUGGGUACAUUACAAGCAAUCGGUAUAAACGGUGGUAUUCAUCGUUUUUGGACUCACCGAGCUUAUAAAGCGAAGUGGCAGCUCAGAGUUAUAUUACUUAUUUUCUACUGCAUAGCUGGCCAGAAUAAUCCUUUUGAGUGGGUGCGAGAUCAUCGAG